AACGAACGCUGGCGGCAGGCCUAACACAUGCAAGUCGAGCGAGGACUUCGGUCCUAGCGGCGGACGGGUGAGUAACGCGUGGGAACGUGCCCUUUGCUUCGGAAUAGCCCUGGGAAACUGGGAGUAAUACCGGAUGAGCCCUUUGGGGGAAAGAUUUAUCGGCGAAGGAUCGGCCCGCGUUGGAUUAGGUAGUUGGUGGGGUAAUGGCCUACCAAGCCGACGAUCCAUAGCUGGUUUGAGAGGAUGAUCAGCCACACUGGGACUGAGACACGGCCCAGACUCCUACGGAAGGCAGCAGUGGGGAAUCUUAGACAAUGGGGGAAACCCUGAUCUAGCCAUGCCGCGUGAGCGAUGAAGGCCUUAGGGUUGUAGAGCUCUUUCAGCUGGGAAGAUAAUGACGGUACCAGCAGAAGAAGCCCCGGCUAACUCCGUG
rnacentral:rRNA from 1 species